ensembl:lncRNA
CGGCACUUUCUGCCCUGCUGCUAGUGAGGCACAACAUAUGGAUGGGCAGUGCACUGACGGAGGCCACUGAUAGGGUGAAUCACCUGCAAAUUUAUGGGGCAGGUAAUGGUGUUUUGGCCCCAGGGGAUUGGACGCUGGUGACCGUGUGGGCAUAUAAGGCUGUGAAGGAAUGGCAGCACCUCACACACUCCACCUCUGCCUCCGCGCUGGACACCUACCUCUACUACUAUACUCAAAGAUGAUGGCUGUGCUGGCGCUGACCUUAGCCCUGAUGGUGGUGUCCGUGGUCAGGCAGAGUGACAGCCAGCCACUGCGGACAGAUCCUAUAGAGCUGACAGAGCUGUUGGCAAUUUUACGGGCAGCUGGGCCUGGAGGAGGAGAGGCAGCGUUGGUGGACGGCUACCCAGGGGAGGAGGGCCUGUUGUCUGAAAGUGAGCAGCUGGACAAGAGGGACCUUCCCCGACUUGGUGUCUCCGUCUUCCGCUCCAGUCCGUCGAGAGUCACCAACAGCAGGACGUAUAAAGAAGGUGGUAAAUGCCGUGCUUUCUAUCGACAUGCCUGAGAGGAAGUCUGGAAUCCAUGGUUGAAAGUCCCCAUUUUGUCUGACACUUGUAUCUGAUCGAAUGCUAUGUUUGAAAUCUAUUUUCAGUACUGGAUAUUUAUCAUUUAAGUUCUCUAUGACAUGCUAUGUGCUAUACAAGCCUUGUGACGUCAAUAAAGCUCUGUGUUGUAAACUGUGA